AACGUUUCCCCGGAAAUUUCCGUACCAUUUAUCCCCGUUCCAAAAUUUUCGGAAUUUUUGGUUGAAUGAAAAGCGCCUUUAGUUUCGGAUUUGAAAGAAUACGGAAUGCUUACACAGUAAGAAUUCAUUUUUUCUACAAGAGGUACAACCCAUUUCUUCUCAAUGUGACCACCUUACACAAAAAAUUAACCUCAAAAAUCUCCAAUCAAAAACAGCCGUUUACAUAUUUUCCAAAUAGAACUUAAAUAGAACGAAAUACUAAUCACUCAUAAAACAUAACAGAGAGUCUUUAAUAAAAGUAUGCGACGACCAAUCAAUCCUAACUCAAUUCACACACGACGCAAUAGCUUAUCUUGUACUAAAUCUAAUUAUUAAUUAAUGGCCAUGAACACGAGGUCGCUUCUUUCAAAGAAAAAGGAAAUUGUAAUCAGUUUUCAACAAUAUUGUUGGUAUUAACCUCGAGUCUUGAUGAUUCCAUAAAAAUUCUCUAUUUAGCGACGGAUCUUUAGCAGAUCAUUACUUUGAAAGGUGAGAAUGACGUGUUAACUUAAUACCGAUCAGCAUUAGAGAAAAAUGGUAAUCGCUACACUCUGCAAUCUGCACGGAUAUCUUUAAAAUCAGUUUUCGAAUUCGAAAACGCGACCUUUGAUUUACAAAAGUAGAACAAUCGCGAUUGUAUUCUUAAUACGCAACUCCUAUAAAACAGACCCGAGUGCGAAUUGAUGAAUAAUGUAAAGAAAAACAUUCUGGUUUCUUUUUUUUUGUAGAUCACAAUCUGAAGAACGUUCACCAACGAACAUGGAGCUGGAGACUGCAAGAGGAGGCGUUCAUACCACAAAUGGGGUGAGUUCCAAACAACCACGACGCACACAGGUCUAACAGUACUGUAUCUGCUUGCCCGUGUCCAACAUUUUUGCCGAUAUAAGCAUGUUACAUUUGGAAUAUUCAGGCUCGAAAAGUGGUAGAAAACUCGAGUUCCUUGUGUAAUCACUGCAUUAUCAUGCAUACACGUAACAAAAAGCACUGAGCUGUUCCAAAGACAUUGUGAAUUCUGGAUACAUAACAAAUCCCCUUUGUUCACAAGCCCUGCUUGGAGCAGGGCACUUGAAUGUUCUCUGUUCAAUACCAGAAUGAAUUAACUUGAGAUGUUAGCGACUAAGCCCUAGUUCACACGAGCGACAUGACAUCAUAACGACAUAAACAGUGUUAUGUUUGCAAUGUGAACAUCCUGAACAUAAUGACAUAAUAGCAUGAACAUAACGGCAUAGGGACAAAAAGCUGCUCUUUUCCUUAUGUCUUUAUACCGAUGUUCACUUUAGCGACAUAAGCGAGCAUAAGCGAUUAUGUCGUUAUGCCAUUAUGUCAUUACAUGUAUGUCGUUAUGUCGCUAGUGUGAACCAGGCCUAACUUUCAUUGAAACUCAAUUUCAGGAAAAACGGUCCACAAACAGCGUCACAAAGAAAAAGGUGAGACUUUCUUGUAACUUGUUUGGCUAAAUGAUACUACAGACUAGCUGCUCUAUAACAAACUAAUGCUAUACCAAGGGGUAUUAGAGUGGUUUUUAAAUGAGCAUCGUAAGACCAAAACCAAACCAAUUUCUUACCAAUCAGACUACUCAGCCAAUCUCAACCUGUAGUAAAACCAAAACCAAAACCAAAGUAAUUGUCUAAUUACUUUUGACACUCAAUUGAAAAUCGACUCACAAUGCCUAUAACUCCUCUAGCUAGUGUGAGUUUGGAGACUGAAAAUAUAUACAUUUUGCAACAGGUCAGGUGAACAUUUAAAUUGGUAUAAUUGUCCUUUUCACAGCUCAGUGUUACACUGACGCCAUCAUCCAAACAAAUGACGUUUUCCAAAAUAGUAUAUAACAUCUUGACAUACAAUGCCUCUGAUGUCACACUAACAAAGUAUUGCUCCACGUUUGCAAUAUCUUUCAUUGGAUCAAUAUUUUUGGCAACUGCCAGAUGAUUGCUUUGCGCGAAGCACAAGUCUCAGGGUAGCAUUUAAAUGUUGUUAAGUAAAGUGGUCUAACUCUGCAAACCUACUUAAUUAUCUAGGAUAUAUUUUUUAUCAUUUUGUACUGUAGUCAAGUAGUCUAGGUUUGAAAAAGUUCAGAAAACUCUAGAUAACACGAGAAACCUUCCCAUUACAUUUUCUGUCCCGGUAAUCUUGAAGUUGUACAUUUAUUUGACUUGCAAAUAAAACAAGUCAACUGGGCUGAAGUCUAUUAUAGAGAAACAAGUAAACAAAAUGGGCAAACAC